rnacentral:rRNA from 1 species
GAUGAACGCUGGCGGCGUGCCUAAUACAUGCAAGUCGAGCGAACGGUCUAGGAGCUUGCUUCUCUGAUGUUAGCGGCGGACGGGUGAGUAACACGUGGAUAACCUACCUAUAAGACUGGGAUAACUUCGGGGAACAGGAGCUAAUACCGGAUAAUAUUUUGAACCGCAUGGUUCAAAAGUGAAAGACGGUCUUGCUGUCACUUAUAGAUGGAUACGCGCCGCAUUAGCUAGUUGGUAACGUAACGGCUUAACAAGGCAACGAUGCAUAGCCGACCUGAGAGGGAGAAUGCCCAGACUGGCACAGAGACACAGUACAGACACCGACGGGAAGAAGCAGCAGAGACUCCUACGCGAUGCGGCAGAGCCGGAUGGAGGAAAGCCGGCUGAGUGCUGAAGGUCUUCGGACCGGAGAACUCUGUAAGUAGUGAAGAACAAAUGCGUAAUUAACUGUGCUCAUAUUGACGGUACCUAAACAGAAAGCCACGGCUAACUCCGUG